rnacentral:misc_RNA from 1 species
UUUUGACACAGGUGCAUCUUGUAACUAAUAACAAGUAAAAGAGUUUACUUCCCGGCAUCACAUCGUAAAUUUCUCCUUACAUACUGAACAUUUUCUUACAAUCUACUCUAUUAGUAACAUUAACCGCGUCCACGGCCAUUUGUACUGAGAUCAGAGAGAAGGAAAUAUUCAACUUCACAAAAUGCAGUGUCCCUUACAUGAUCCGUUCUAAGAUUACCCCCCACAAAACCAGACUUGAUUGGCCUGAUCAACGAA